GUGGGGAAUCUUGCGCAAUGGGCGAAAGCCUGACGCAGCGACGCCGCGUGGGGGAUGAAGGCCUUCGGGUCGUAAACCCCUUUCGGCAGGGACGAAGCCUUACGGUGACGGUACCUGCAGAAGAAGCCUCGGCUAACUACGUGCCAGCAGCCGCGGUAAGACGUAGGAGGCGAGCGUUGUCCGGAUUCAUUGGGCGUAAAGCGCGCGUAGGCGGCUUGGCAAGUCGGAUGUGAAAACCCGAGGCUCAACCUCGGGCGUGCAUCCGAAACUGCCAGGCUAGAGGUAGGUAGGGGAGAUCGGAACUCCUGGUGUAGCGGUGAAAUGCGCAGAUAUCAGGAAGAACACCGGUGGCGAAGGCGGAUCUCUGGGCCUUACCUGACGCUGAGGCGCGAAAGCUAGGGGAGCGAACAGGAUUAGAAACCCUGGUAGUCC
rnacentral:rRNA from 1 species